AGGGACCAAAUAUCACCUUCUUCCAUAUAACAGGCAAUAGUUAGCUAUUUUAUCUUCUUUUAUACCCAUUAGAGUAGCAAAACACACAUAUAUUUAUCUAGUUUAAAAUAUAAUUACACCACUUCACAUUUAAAGUCACUUAAAUCCACUUUCUUCCCUUUCUGAUUCUGUGUUUGAAUUUCAGCAUCUAGAUCCUAAAUGCAUUCUGUUGCUGGAAGCUGGUGUUAACAGUACCUAAUAAACAGGCCAAUGAAAAUCUUAUUAGGACUAGGAGGUGCAGGUUGUUCAUCUAAAAGAUCUUCUACUGAGCCGUGUACAGAGCUGUGAUAUGAACAGGAAGACUGGGCUACUCGGGGGAAACCCAAGGCGGUUGUGUCUGAGUAGAGUUGAGCGGAGAGGUUAGCUAGUCCAGGAUUCCUCAUAAUGGGAAAACCACAGAGGAAUUCAAUCUGCUGCCAGCGGUGAAGACGUUCUCGCAGACAAGCUGUUACUUCGGACAACGCAUGCCUAUGGGGGAGGAGCUGUGGGCCAUUUGAAGCGUUCCCAAAACAGAACUUCUCUUCUUCUUGAUCCUCUCUGCCUGCAGAAAAAUUAAAGAGAGAUGUGACAGACAGUGCAGCGGCAAGUUGCAGUUCUGCGCUGUGCUUUUUGACAUUGUAGUGCUGAACCUCCACCUCAUGUGUAACCUGGAGCCACUGCUGAAGGGCGCCCGAGACUGUCCAGCUGGCUAUCAUCUCCCUCUCUGCCUGCUUCA